rnacentral:rRNA from 1 species
CCUACGGGAGGCAGCAGUGGGGAAUAUUGCNACAAUGGGCGAAAGCCUGAUGCAGCGACGCCGCGUGAGGGAUGACGGCCUUCGGGUUGUAAACCUCUUUCAGCAGGGAAGAAGCGAAAGUGACGGUACCUGCAGAAGAAGCGCCGGCUAACUACGUGCCAGCAGCCGCGGUAAUACGUAGGGCGCAAGCGUUGUCCGGAAUUAUUGGGCGUAAAGAGCUCGUAGGCGGUUUGUCGCGUCUGCUGUGAAAGCCCGGGGCUCAACCCCGGGUCUGCAGUGGGUACGGGCAGACUAGAGUGCAGUAGGGGAGACUGGAAUUCCUGGUGUAGCGGUGAAAUGCGCAGAUAUCAGGAGGAACACCGAUGGCGAAGGCAGGUCUCUGGGCUGUAACUGACGCUGAGGAGCGAAAGCAUGGGGAGCGAACAGGAUUAGAUACCCUGGUAGUCCAUGCCGUAAACGUUGGGCACUAGGUGUGGGGGACAUUCCACGUUUUCCGCGCCGUAGCUAACGCAUUAAGUGCCCCGCCUGGGGAGUACGGCCGCAAGGCUAAAACUCA